GCCAGGGCUAAGCCCACCGAUGCUCACUGCUACCGUUCCUGAGGUGUUGUCACACAGAGGAAGCCAGUGCCUGGGACCAAGAUCAAAGACCACCUGAUAGUCUUCUCCCUGUUAUGACCUGGAAAUUCCACCAGCUUGACACUGUUGUGUGUUUAAGUCAACAACCAAUGGCUUUCCAUCUGGCCUGCAGUAAAAGCUAAAACCCUU
rnacentral:lncRNA from 1 species